UACAGAGGUCUCAAGCGUUGUUCGGAUUCCUUGGGCGUAAAGGGUGCGUAGGCGGCGCGGUAAGUCGGGUGUGAAAUCUCGGAGCUUAACUCCGAAACUGCAUUCGAUACUGUCGUGCUUGAGGACUGGAGAGGAGACUGGAAUUUACGGUGUAGCGGUGAAAUGCGUAGAUAUCGUAAGGAAGACCAGUGGCGAAGGCGGGUCUCUGGACAGUUCCUGACGCUGAGGCACGAAGGCCAGGGGAGCAAACGGG
rnacentral:rRNA from 1 species